UGUGAACUGCAGGACACAUGGAACAUCGAUAAGUUGAACGCAUAUUACACGUUGUGCCUCACGGCAUGAUGUACACAUGGUUGAGUGCUUC
rnacentral:rRNA from 1 species